rnacentral:rRNA from 1 species
GACGAACGCUGGCGGCGUGCUUAACACAUGCAAGUCGAACGGAAAGGCUCCAGCUUGCUGGAGUACUCGAGUGGCGAACGGGUGAGUAACACGUGGGUAAUCUGCCCUGCACUCUGGGAUAAGCCUGGGAAACUGGGUCUAAUACUGGAUAUGACCUUUCUCCUUAUGGGGUUUGGUGGAAAGUUUUUCGGUGUAGGAUGAGCCCGCGGCCUAUCAGCUUGUUGGUGGGGUGAUGGCCUACCAAGGCGACGACGGGUAGCCGGCCUGAGAGGGUGAUCGGCCACAUUGGGACUGAGAUACGGCCCAGACUCCUACGGGAGGCAGCAGUGGGGAAUAUUGCACAAUGGGCGGAAGCCUGAUGCAGCGACGCCGCGUGAGGGAUGACGGCCUUCGGGUUGUAAAACCUUCUUUCAGCAAGGGAACGAAAGCGUAA